GCCCUGGUGGUGGAAUUGGUAGACACGCAGGACUUAAAAUCCUGUUUGCAGCAAUGCGAGUAUCGGUUCAACUCCGAUCCAGGCA
rnacentral:tRNA from 1 species